AUUGAACGCUGGCGGCAGGCUUAACACAUGCAAGUCGAGCGAGCGGAGGACGGGUGAGUAAUGUAUGGGAAACUGCCUGAUGGAGGGGGAUAACUACUGGAAACGGUAGCUAAUACCGCAUACCCUCAGAUGUGCCCAGAUGGGAUUAGCUAGUAGGGGGGGUAAUGGCUCACCUAGGCGACGAUCCCUCGCUGGUCGGAGAGGAUGACACGCCACACUGGAACUUAGACACGGCCCAGACUCCGACGGGAGGCAGCAGUGGGGAAGAUUGCACAAUGGGCGCAAGCCUGAUGCAGCCAGGCCGCGUGUGUGAAGAAGGCCUUAGGGUUGUAAAGCACUGUCAGCGAGGAGGCGUUACUCGCAGAAGAAGCACCGGCUAACUCCGUGCCAGCAGCCGCGGUAAUUC
rnacentral:rRNA from 1 species